rnacentral:rRNA from 1 species
AUGGUUUGUGCUAGGACAGUCAGUGCUCCUCUGCUCGCUGCAGCAGCAGUAGCGGCGCUGGCACUGGCCUGCUCGCUGGGAUAUGGGGCUUAUGCGGCGGCAGAGCAUGAGGCCGCCGGCGCCGGCGGGGACGACGUGAGGUUGAGGCAGCCUCCGAUCACGCGCGGCCUGUCCUUCGACUUCUACAAGCGGAGCUGCCCCAGGGCGGAGUCCAUCGUGCGCCACUUCGUCCGGCACGCCGUCCGCAAGGACGUCGGCCUCGCCGCCGGCCUCCUCCGCCUCCACUUCCACGACUGCUUCGUCCAGGGCUGCGACGCGUCGGUGCUCCUCGACGGCUCGGCCACGGGGCCGGGGGAGAAGCAGGCGCCGCCCAACCUCACGCUCCGCCCGUCCGCCUUCAAGGCCAUCAACGACAUCCGGGACCAGCUGGAGCGCGAGUGCCGCGGCGCCGUCGUGUCCUGCUCCGACAUCCUGGCGCUCGCCGCGCGCGACUCCGUGGUGGCCACGGGCGGGCCCGAGUACCGCGUGCCGCUCGGCCGGCGCGACAGCGCGCGGUUCGCCACGACGCAGGACGUGCUGUCCGGCCUCCCCGCGCCCACCUCCGCCGUGCCGUGCCUCCUCGACGUGCUCCACAGCCACAGCCCCGACCUCGACGCCACCGACCUCGUCACGCUCUCCGGCGGGCACACCGUGGGGCUCGGCCACUGCGUCUCCUUCGAGGGCCGCCUCUUCCCGCGGCCCGACCCGACGAUGAGCCCGGACUUCCUCGGCAGGCUGAGGCAGACGUGCCCGGCCAAGGGCACCGACGCGCGCGCCGCGCUGGACGUGCGCACGCCCGACGUGUUCGACAACAAGUACUACGUCAACCUGGUGAACCGGGAGGGGCUCUUCGUGUCGGACCAGGACCUGUUUAACAACGACGCCACCCGGCCCAUCGUGGAGCGCUUCGCGCGCAGCCAGCGCUACUUCUUCAGCCAGUUCGGCGUGUCCAUGGUGAAGAUGGGCCAGAUCAGGGUGCUCACCGGCGACCAGGGCCAGGUCCGCCGCAACUGCUCCGCCCGCAACCCCGGCACCGCCGCCGACGGCCUCGAGUGGUCGUCCCUGGUGCAGACCGUCGUGGACGCCGCUCCGGAGAGCCUCGGUUUCUAG